rnacentral:lncRNA from 1 species
AGGCCAUUGCGCAUGCGGACAGCCCACCUCCAGGGAAGAAUCAGAGGAGAAGGGACGGAAGGCCUCGGAAAUCUCCUGCCCUGGGAGAAGCCAGCUGCCAUAUCAUGAGAACGUGUAAGCAUCCUUGAGGAGCGGUCCAUGUGCUUUCCAGUGACUGCAGCCCUGGCCAACCUCUUGAUGGCCUCCUCAUGAGAGCUGAUGAGCCAGGACCACCCAGUGAAGCCAUUCCUGGAUUCGUGUCCUGCAGACACGAAAUCCUGUGUUAUCAGCUGGCCCUGCAAAGAUAAUGAAUCCUGUCUUUUGCUGAAUGUUCACCCCAUUAGAAACUCAGUUUCACUCUGCUUUUAUCCACUUUAGACCCUAUGUUGAUCUUUCUGGUUCUUUACAGUUGGGUUGAAA